rnacentral:rRNA from 1 species
UACGUAGGGGGCAAGCGUUAUCCGGAAUUACUGGGUGUAAGGGGAGCGUAGACGGUGAUGUAAGUCUGGAGUGAAAGGCGGGGGCCCAACCCCCGGACUGCUCUGGAAACUAUGUUACUAGAGUGCAGGAGAGGUAAGCGGAAUUCCUAGUGUAGCGGUGAAAUGCGUAGAUAUUAGGAGGAACACCAGUGGCGAAGGCGGCUUACUAGACUGUAACUGACGUUGAGGCUCGAAAGCGUGGGGAGCAAACAGG